UUAAGGAUGAAGUGUGUAUGUUAGGAUGAUAACGCUAUAAUAAUUAAGGAUGAAGUGUGUAUGUUAGGAUGGUAACGCUAUAAUAAUUAAGGAUGAAGUGUGUAUGUUAGGAUGGUAACGCUAUAAUAAUUAAGGAUGAAGUGUGUAUGUUAGGAUGAUAACGUUAUAAUAAUUAAGGAUGAAGGGUGUAUGUUAGGAUGUUAACGCUAUAAUAAUUAAAGAUGAAGUGUGAAUUGAUGCCAGGAAUAAUAAGUGUGAAGUUUGAUUUCCUCCCUUCUGUAAUAAGCAGCCAAUGAGUUCUCACGGAAGGUGAUAAUUCUGACUAAAA